AAAUGCACAGUAAAUGAGAGCACUUACCUCUUACCUUUUACCUGUAUUUAUAGUUUUCGUUAUGGGAUUUAGAUUAGCAAAACCUUAAUCUAGGCCUAAUCACAACCUAACCACUUAUAAACAAUGUUUUACCUUAAUCAAGACUGGGAGUUUGCUUACUGACUAGGACCGACCGGCCUUGACAUAUGAUCACUGUCGUCCGG
rnacentral:lncRNA from 1 species